GACGAAACGCUGGCGGCGUGCCUAAUACAUGCAAGUAGAACGCUGAAGAGAGGAGCUUGCUCUUCUUGGAUGAGUUGCGAAACGGGUGAGUAACGCGUAGGUAACCUGCCUUGUAGCGGGGGAUAACUAUUGGAAAACGAUAGCUAAAUACCGCGUAACAAUGGAUGACACAUGUCAUUUAUUGAAAGGGCAAUUGUUCCACUACAAGAUGGACCUGCGUUGUAUUAGCUAGUAGGUGAGGUAAUGGCUCACCUAGGCGACGAUACAUAGCCGACCUGAGAGGGUGAUCGGCCACACUGGGACUGAGACACGGCCCAGACUCCUACGGGAGGCAGCAGUAGGGAAUCUUCGGCAAUGGGGCAAACCCUGACCGAGCAAACGCCGCGUGAAGUGAAGAAGGUUUUCGGAAUCGUAAAGCUCUGUUGUAAGUCAAGAACGGGUGUGAGAGUGGAAAGUUCACACUGUGAACGGUAAGC
rnacentral:rRNA from 1 species